AAAAAAAGGUGUGACUGACUAGCAAAAGUGAACAAUAAAAAGGAUCACUGUUUCGUAAGUGAAUCAUAAAAUGGCAUCAUUUUAUAAGACUCUAGGCACUGGUUGAUUGCCUUUUCAUAACUAGGACACUGGGCACUAGUUGAUUGCCCCUAUUGCAACCUACAGUGUCCUUUAUUGACAUCUUAAUCAAGGUACAGAAGGCACGUGCAAUACUUUAUUGACAUCUUAAUCAAGG
rnacentral:lncRNA from 1 species